rnacentral:rRNA from 1 species
AUUGAACGCUGGCGGCAGGCUUAACACAUGCAAGUCGAACGAGUGGCGGACGGGUGAGUAACGCUUGGGAACCUAGCUUAUGGAGGGGGAUAACUACGGGAAACUGUAGCUAAUACCGCGUACCAUAGGAUGAGCCCAAGUGGGACUAGGUAGUUGGUGAGGUAAAGGCUCACCAAGCCGACGAUCUCUAGCUGGUCUGAGAGGAUGACCGGCCAUACGGGAACUGAGACACGGCCCAGACUCCUACGGGAGGCAGCAGUGGGGAAUAUUGCGCAAUGGGGGCAACCUGACGCAGCCAUGCCGCGUUAAUGAUGAAGGCCUUCGGGUUGUAAAGUUCUUUCAGUAGGGAGGCGUUAACUACAGAGAAAGCACCGGCUAACUCCGUGCCAGCAGCCGCGGUAAUAC